AUUGAACGCUGGCGGCAUGCCUUACACAUGCAAGUCGAACGGCGGCACGGGUGCUUGCACCUGGUGGCGAGUGGCGAACGGGUGAGUAAUACAUCGGAACAUGUCCUGUAGUGGGGGAUAGCCCGGCGAAAGCCGGAUUAAUACCGCAUACGAUCUACGGAUGAAAGCGGGGGACCUUCGGGCCUCGCGCUAUAGGGUUGGCCGAUGGCUGAUUAGCUAGUUGGUGGGGUAAAGGCCUACCAAGGCGACGAUCAGUAGCUGGUCUGAGAGGACGACCAGCCACACUGGGACUGAGACACGGCCCAGACUCCUACAGGAGGCAGCAGUGGGGAAUUUUGGACAAUGGACGAAAGCCUGAUCCAGCAAUGCCGCGUGUAUGAAGAAGGCCUUCGGGUUGUAAAGCACUUUUGUCCGGAAAGAAAUCCUUGGCCCUAAUACGGUCGGGGGAUGACGGUACCGGAAGAAUAAGCACCGGCUAACUACGUG
rnacentral:rRNA from 1 species